CUCAGUCAACCUAAACGUGCGAUAUAUAUAUAUAUAUUUCUUCUUCUAUUCAUUACUUAUUUGCAAGAUCUGCAGAUAGGUGAGCAAAAAGAUAAGGUUUGGUAAGACAUUAAGCUAUGCAAAGCUGAAGAAUACUGAUUUGGAAAUUCUUGUGAAUCUUGUUGGUGACAAGGAAAGAUAUUUAAAAUCUCACAUGGUGCUAAAAUCUUGAGAUCUUAGAGAAUUUUCUUUUCUGUACACCCUUCAUUCAAAGUUGAAUCUCUCUAUCUCACCAUGACUCCAGAUUGAGUAAGAUUGAUGGUGUUGGAAUUUUAUCAUUCAUAUCUAGAUCGGGUUAUUCUUGACAUCAUUUGAGAGAUCUCUUGCAAGCUUAUCUCAAUUCAUGAUUUGGUGAAUGUAUUCUACAAUUUCUUUAAAUAAAGUUUCCAUUUCCUAUCAAAUUCUCG